GACGAACGCUGGCGGCGUGCUUAACACAUGCAAGUCGAGCGGUAAGGCCCUUCGGGGUACGACGAGCGGCGAACGGGUGAGUAACACGUGGGUGACCUGCCCUCCAGCUCUGGGAGUAAGACCUGGGAAACCGGGUACGUAAUACUGGAUAUGACUCCAUGACGCAUGUUGUGGGGUGGAAAGCCUUGUGCGGCUGAGGAUGGCCCGCGGCCUAUCAGCUUGUUGGUGGGGUGAUGGCCUACCAAGGCGACGAC
rnacentral:rRNA from 1 species